rnacentral:lncRNA from 1 species
UUUUUUUUUUUUUCUUGCCAUUGCUUGGGCCACUCCCAUGCGGCAUAUGGAGGUUCCCAGGCUAGGGGUUGAAUUGGAGCUGCACUGCCGGCCUACACCAGAUCCACAGCAGCACGGGAUUCAAUCCACAUCUACAACCUACACCACAGCUCAUGGCAAUGCCGGAUCCUUAACCCACUAAGCAAGGCCAGGGAUUGAACCCUCAACUUCAUGGUUCCUAGUCGGAUCCAUUAACCGCUGAGCCACGAUGGGAACUCCCAACACAAAAUUCUUAAUUCCAACCAGGACUUAACAAACCCCACAGAAGAGGUUCCUGGGUGUGCAGGAAUCCAUGACCUACAGUUAGAGAGAGGCAAUCCCUCCAACCCCGUCCGGGAAUCAGAAAUAGUUGGGAGGCAGGGUGAGGUGAGAGCAAAGGACUAAGGCAGGCUUGAACCCACCCUUGAAAGGGGGAUGACCAGAGAAUCUGCCUCUUAGGUUUUUGAGAAACAAAUAAGUUAAGGCAGGCAAAGCAAGCCGGGUGUAUGACAUGGGUAAGUGCACACUCAAUGAAAACCCACAUCAUUAUUUUUGCCAUUACAAACAUCCGUGGAAGAGACAUAUAACUUGGCCCACUUUUGUGACUGCUUCUGGGGGAGCAAUUAUUGGAAGUAGAUUUCUACAUCAAAGACAAGGUUUAUUAUUGGUGCUCUGAACUCCCUCACGGCUCUCAAACACGCCCCUGGGAGGGAAUCACAACCCAGGAUCAGCAACACAGCCACAGCAAAGCCAGGAGGCCAAGACCAAGAACGCUGGCACCAGGCUGCCUGGGUUUUGAAUCUUGACCUUGUCCCUUGCUAGCAAGUCAGCUAACUUUGGGCCUCAGUUUCUCCAUCCAUAAAAUGGGGAUCACGAGACAGCACAGGAGUCCUCUGAGAUGUGACGUUUUCACAAACAAGUUAAGCAUUUAGCAUACUACCUGGCUUAAGAUAACCAUUCACUCUUCAGUUUUACUAGGAAACGUGUACAUGGCACAAAAUUCAGAAUAUACAAGAGGGUGAAGAGUGGCCAUUAAGUCUUCCUCUUUCCUAGGACCCCCAGCCAGUUAGUUCCUCUCUCCAAAUGCCACCACUGCUUCCUGUUCCUCGGAUCCUCUUCCAGAAAUUUUACUCACUUACAGAUACACAAACACAUACACAUAGAUGUCUACAUUUCCCUUCACGGAAAUUGUAGCAUAUGAUCUACCCUUGUAUGUUACUUUUUUUCAUUUAAAGGGACAAUUUGAAAACAUAGUAUUAUUAUUAUCAUCGAAGGAGCUACCCGUGGGACCAGCUGAUAGGUGUGGGGCAGGGAGGAGGCCCGCUGGCAGCACAGAAUGUGGCUGUCCACUGAGGUCAUCGCUCUGCCUAGGGUCAAGAAAGGAAACGGUGGAGUUCCCGCUGUGGCGCAACGGGAUGGGCAGUGUCGCUGCACUGCUGGGAUGCAGGUUCGAUCCUCAGCUCAGCAGUGGGUUAAGGAUCUGGAGUUGCCACAGCUGCAGCCUUGGUGACAAACGUGGCUCAGAUCUGAUCCCUGGCCUGGGAAUGCCAUGUGCCUCGGGGCAGCCUAAAAAGAAAAAAGAAGAAAAAGAAAAGAAAGGAAAUGGUAAGAGUGCAGAAAAGCACAGGAUGAAAGGGGGAAAAGCCCCUCGUGGUAGCAGACAAUAGCGCCCCCAGCCCAGCUCUCCUUCCAGUUCCUUCCCAGAAAAGCAGAGUCCUUUGCCUUUAACUACACACAACACGUGCAGCACGUACCAGGAGUAACAUCUGGGCAGCAGCCAAGCUGCUUAAAGAGACCGGCCCUCCUUUUGGAUGACGCUUGGACCGAGUUCAAGUUCCAGCAAUUUGGCGAAGGGAGCAGGGAAAUAAAUACCGAAGUUGCGGCAGGCAGGUCUCGCCAGGGUGAAUCCUUUCUCCGAGGGAGGGCAGCAGCCUCCAAGGUUGAUCCCUCUCCAGUUUUACAAUGACUCUGGGGGCCCCCAAGGAUCUUUCUUUCUGCCCACAGUACAUCAUCAUCCAGGUACUCCUUGGGCCCCAGCAAAUGCAAAGGGUGAGCUGAGUUUCUAAGUCACCUCCCUGAUGUGGUCCCACAUCAGCUGUGUGACUUCGAGCAACUGGCGUCACUUCUCUGAGCCCCGGUUUCCUCAUUUCGGAAAAUGGAGGCAUGACUGCCCAUCUCGCAGGGCUGUGGGCAACAUGGCCUGAGUCAGAGCUUUGAAAACUGAGCCAGCCGACACAUGCUCCGGCUCUUCCCCUCUGCUUAUCC